rnacentral:misc_RNA from 1 species
AAGUCGUAACAAGGUUUUCGUAGGUGAACCUGCGGAAGGAUCAUUAGUGAAUUUUCGGGGAGUCCCUCUUAACCGGAGAAGGCCCCAAACCACUACUUUCAAACCCUAGUGCAUUUGUCCCCUUUUUACCAUUUUAACCCUUGUGCAUUCGAAAAGGUUGUUUGGUGUUAUAACAAUUUGAUAAUUGAAAGAAAAA